AGGCCAACCAACAUCAAGUCACUGGUAUUGUCUAGGCUUCCCCGUAACUAAUAACCACAAGGGUGGUAAUAGUGACUGUCUGCAGCCAGAGCCAGCAACGAACGAACCCUGCAUUCUGAACUGCUGACCAUUCAGAGACACGUGAAAUCUUGCUGUGUCUUACCCCGUCCUAUGCAAGACAAGCAGCCCCUCGGCUCCAGUGCUCAUGCUCUCCGUGAUAUGCUACCGUGAAUCAGUGAGCAGGCAUCUCGAUUACCAGAUCACCUGCCACACUGUCAUCAUGCUUGCAAUAAAGUAACCAGCGUUUUGUUUGAGAGAGGUUUCAAA